GGGUGGUAGCGGGAAAACCAAUCGCCACCUAAAAGCAUCAUUUCCUCAAAAUCUAUACUGCCACAUCAUCAGAAAUAAUUGGCCAAUCACAGUGCUAUAUUAUGCCAUGUCAUCUACUGGUUUUCUUUGCCCACCACAAAUUGAUAACAACAAUAAUUGGGCAACAAUCUAGGCGCUCCUUCCUCCGAUCUCCAAAGACCUGGCUAUGAAAAACUGAACAUCAACCGUUCCAUUAUAUCUUUUCAUCUCCCUUGCAAUUGAAUUCUCAUCUAAUACAUUUUCUUUGUUAUUAUAACAUAUAAUGACCGACUCUUACAAAUCCUUUCAGUUGAAGAGACCCAUCCUCAAACCUUUCAGUGAGUUAAAAUCAAAUGCCAAUUAAUUGAUGAAAUCGUCAAAUCUUCUCAGCAAGGUUCCCUCUCUGGUUUUCUUCACAAUUAGUUUCUGAUAAUCACAUAGAGGAAUAUAUCGUCACAAGAUUGGUAGCCACCAUCCUUAUGUUAGAAGCCUGUAAUCCAACUGAAGCUGGGAUGUUCAUCGGACGUGAGCGUCUAAUCAUUGGUGAACAAGUACUCCUUAGUAUUUUCCUCCCGUUUUAUGAUUUAAAAAGUUUGUGGUCUCUAAAGUCGAUUCACCCACAACAGACACCGCAAAGGACUUUGGUUUCUGGAUCUUUAUUUGAUUGUUAUGCUUUAUGUGCUUUGCUGAUUAUGCUAGUUUGUGGAGAACAAAUUGCAGAAUUUUGCUUCACAACACUCGGAUGUCCUUGAGAACUUGAGUCCGACAGUCAUGGACCAUGUAGAGAUUCUAAGAGAGAUCCAGGGGAGACAAUCUUCCAGUUAGAUGAAUAUGUACAUAGUCUUUUACUUAUUCCUUUUAAAUUUUGCAUUGCAGGACCACCAUGAUGAAAUGGAAUCAAGGAGAGGCAGCGGUAGAAGCUUAGUAUCAGAAGUUGUAUCAACCUUUGUAUACAAAGUCACCGGCUCGGCUGGGCAGUAAGUUUGACAAUCACUCAGUCGAGGACGUAUGAUCUCUUUCAUGUUAAUAAUUCAAGGGAUGUUGCUAACCUGAGGAGGACAAGGAUGAUGAUGAAAACAAUAGUAGUUUGUUGUUUUGGUCAUUCUUUGACUGUUAUUCAAAAAAAAAAAAAAAGGUCAUUCUUUGACUUUAUUUAUCAUCUAUCACUUUGGUAUGGGAAAUAACAUCUUUGGUAACAA